CCUACGGGUGGCUGCAGUGAGGACUAUUGGUCAAUGGACGCAAGUCUGAACCAGCCAUGCCGCGUGCAGGAUGACGGCUCUAUGAGUUGUAAACUGCUUUUGUACGAGGGUAAACCCCGAUACGUGUCUCGGGGUGAAAGUAUCGUACGAAUAAGGAUCGGCGAACUCCGUGCCAGCAGACGCGGUAAUACGGAGGAUCCGAGAGGUAUCCGGAUUUAUUGGGUUUAAGGGGUGCGUAGUCGGAUUUUUAAGUCAGCGGUAAAAUGUCCGGGCUCAACCCGGGCCGGCCGUUGAAACUGGGGAUCUUGAGUGGGCGAGAAGUAUGCGGAAUGCGUGGUGUAGCGGUGAACUGCAUAGAUAUCACGCAGAACUCCGAUUGCGAAGGCAGCAUACCGGCGCCCGACUGACGCUGAGGCACGAAAGCGUGGGGAUCGAACAGGAUUAGAGACCCGGGUAGUC
rnacentral:rRNA from 1 species